rnacentral:rRNA from 1 species
CAGCAGCAGCCACGGUAAUACAGAGGGUGCGAGCGUUAAUCGGAUUUACUGGGCGUAAAGCGUGCGUAGGCGGCUAAUUGAGUCGGAUGUGAAAUCCCCGAGCUUAACUUGGGAAUUGCAUUCGAUACUGGUUAGCUAGAGUGUGGGAGAGGAUGGUAGAAUUCCAGGUGUAGCGGUGAAAUGCGUAGAGAUCUGGAGGAAUACCGAUGGCGAAGGCAGCCAUCUGGCCUAACACUGACGCUGAGGUACGAAAGCAUGGGGAGCAAACAGGAUUAGAUACCCCGGUAGUCCCUGUCUCUUAUAC